ensembl:lncRNA
GGGCAGUGGAAAUGGGAAGGCUGGUUGGGCAGUGGAAAGGGGAAGGCUGGUUGGGCAGUGUAAAGGGGAAGGCUGGUUGGGCAGCAUGAUGGGGAAGGCUGGUUGGGUAGUGUAAAGGGGAAGGCUGGUUGGGCAGUGUAAAGGGAAGGCUGGUUGGGCAGUGGAAAGGGAAAGGCUGGUUGGGCAGUGUAAAGGGGAAGGCUGGUUGGGCAAUGGAAAGGGGAAGGCUGGUUGGGCAGUGUAAACGGGAAGGCUGGUUGGGCAGUGUAAAGGGAGACGUGUGCCCAU